UGUGUUGCACUUUCACUUGACCUGCCAGUUCGACGCCACGUGACGUCCAAAUUCUCUUUUGGAUGUCACUUUUGACAGGCCAGUCUUUUGUAAUCUUUACAAUUUGGAAGUUGAUGGAAUCAAAAUGACGACCCCAACAGCCCCCGUUCAAAUUCCAAAGAAAGGAAUUGUUAAACAGGUCUUAUCUGGAGACGCUGUUGUUAUUCGGAGCCUGAAUGGAGCCCCACCAC